UACAGAGGUGGCAAGCGUUAGGCGGAAUCACUGGGCUUAAAGCGGGUGUAGGCGGAUCGUUAAGUGUCUUGUGAAAUCCCACGGCUCACCCGUGGAACUGCUGGGCAUACUGGCGAUCUUGGGCCAACUAGGGGCAACUGGAACAAGCGGUGGAGCGGUGAAAUGCGUAGAUAUCGCUUGGAACGCCAAAGGUGAAAACAGGUAGCUGGGGGUGUGCUGACACUGAGACACGAAAGCCAGGGGAGCAAACGGG
rnacentral:rRNA from 1 species